CAAAACGACUCUCGGCAACGGAUAUCUCGGCUCUCGCAUCGAUGAAGAACGUAGCGAAAUGCGAUACUUGGUGUGAAUUGCAGAAUCCCGUGAACCAUCGAGUCUUUGAACGCAAGUUGCGCCCGAAGCCUUCGGGCCAAGGGCACGUCUGCCUGGGUGUCAUGC
rnacentral:rRNA from 1 species